UACGUAGGGCGCAAGCGUUAUCCGGAAUUAUUGGGCGUAAAGAGCUCGUAGGCGGUUUGUCGCGUCUGCCGUGAAAGUCCGGGGCUUAACCCCGGAUCUGCGCUGGGUACGGGCAGACUAGAGUGCAGUAGGGGAGACUGGAAUUCCUGGUGUAGCGGUGAAAUGCACAGAUAUCAGGAGGAACACCGAUGGCGAAGGCAGGUCUCUGGGCUGUUACUGACGCUGAGGAGCGAAAGCAUGGGGAGCGAACAGG
rnacentral:rRNA from 1 species